rnacentral:rRNA from 1 species
GGAGGCAGCAGUGGGGAAUCUUAGACAAUGGGCGCAAGCCUGAUCUAGCCAUGCCGCGUGAGUGAUGAAGGCCUUAGGGUCGUAAAGCUCUUUCGCCAGAGAUGAUAAUGACAGUAUCUGGUAAAGAAACCCCGGCUAACUCCGUGCCAGCAGCCGCGGUAAUACGGAGGGGGUUAGCGUUGUUCGGAAUUACUGGGCGUAAAGCGCACGUAGGCGGAUCAGAAAGUUGGGGGUGAAAUCCCAGGGCUCAACCCUGGAACGGCCUCCAAAACUCCUGGUCUUGAGUUCGAGAGAGGUGAGUGGAAUUCCGAGUGUAGAGGUGAAAUUCGUAGAUAUUCGGAGGAACACCAGUGGCGAAGGCGGCUCACNGGCUCGNUACNGACGC